CUACGGGUCGCAGCAGUGGGGAAUAUUGGACAAUGGGGGAAACCCUGAUCCAGCAAUGCCGCGUGUGUGAAGAAGGCCUGCGGGUUGUAAAGCACUUUCGGUUGGGAGGACUGCUUCUAGCACUAAUAUUGUUGGAAGUUGACGUUACCUUCAGAAGAAGCACCGGCUAACUCCGUGCCACGCAGCCGCGGUAAUACGGAGGGUGCAUGCGUUAAUCGGAAUUACUGGGCGUAAAGCGCGCGUAGGCGGCUAGAUCAGUCGGGUGUGAAAGCCCCGGGCUUAACCUGGGAACUGCAUCCGAUACUGUCUAGCUUGAGUACAGGAGAGGAGAGUGGAAUUCCACAUGUAGCGGUGAAAUGCGUAGAUAUGUGGAGGAACACCAAUGGCGAAGGCAGCUCUCUGGCCUGAUACUGACGCUGAGGUGCGAAAGCGUGGGGAGCAAACAGGAUUAGAUACCCCCGUAGUC
rnacentral:rRNA from 1 species